UGUAUUUUCCAGACUAGAGAUAGCACAGGUGCAAAUUCCUUCAAGGUGUACAUGGUACACACCCUGCUAAGGGGACAAUCCCCAAACAGCUCAUUCCAUCAUUGAUCUGUAGACACAGAAAAAUUGUUUCUUUAGAGCUUUGAAAUCCCAGAAAGCAGAGACGCAGCAUAUUGGCCUCCUUCAUUUAUCAAAAACCACCCCUUACCUUUGCUCCCAAGAUACUGCAUGACUCAGCAGGCUGGCCCCUCCCCACCUGGCCAGCUCCCAUUUGUGCUUCUCAUUCAAACAUUUCUCCACUCAAGGAUGAGAAUUUCAUCACCUUCGCUGUGUCGUGGUCCUGUGCAUGCUACUGCUUCAGGCCAGCAAAGUUUCAAAGAACUGCUAAAAUGCUGUUUAAAAGAAGCCUAAAAAUCAUGAGCUGUGAAGAACUGUUUGAAGGGGGAAGCAUCACUCCAGAUUGCAACUUGUACAGGUUUCGAGGCUGGGCACUGGGAACAGGGAGUCGGGCACCAGCCUUGAACACUGAGCUUAAAAUGGUGUUUUGAACUAUAUGUUUUUAGGUACAGAGCUCGAUGCUGGCUGCCUGGAGGGGGCCAGGUGCCCAUCACAAAGGGCUCCUCUCAGCAUGCAGACACCUUCAUGGCUGUGUGAGAACAGCAGGCACAGCCUGGAGAGAGAAGGAUGUUUUCUCCCUUGUAACACUGUGUUUUUUUAGAGAAGGCAAAAGCAGACUGCCUGAGGGAGCAGAUGAAAACAGCACAUCUCAAAAGGGAAGGAGCAUGGCUACAGGACAAUAACAAUUUCCUCCCCUCAGUGAGACCCAUCAUCAUCCCAUGCCAAGGACCAGGAACUGAAAUGUACUUAACUACUGCACAGAUUCCCAGCAAACCCCUCCUUCCAGUGCUCAGCCUUCUGGUUCCUAAGCUGGCAGCCAAGCUUGGCCAACUGAAGGUGACCCAAAUAUAUCCAGGUUUCUGGAGGAUGGAAGAUGCCCCAAAGCUUCCAUCCUUUGCCAAGAGAAGUAUUUAGGAGCGUGCAAAGCAGCCCCCACAAUAAGAAACCUACCUGAGAAAGAGGGAGGGCGAUACAUGAGGCAAAAUUUCCCUGGUAGUGGCACCUGAAAGGAAUUACUGGGGUGAUGGGGAACACAAGUGCCUCAGGGCCCGCUUCCCUGUGGUCUCCCAGCACCUCAGCUGUGCACAGUCUGGCACAGGUGCAUGACAGCUUGCCAUGGCUCCUAAAUCAUCUGGCUUGGGCAACAUGAAAGCACAGUCUGAUUCACAUCCUGGCUCCAUUUAUCUCCAUCUCCCAGAGGUGCAGGCCAGGCUUUUCAUGAAGAGCAUUUAGCAGAGCUUGAACUGUAGUGCAGUAGGAUUAAGUAUUUUCUGUUCCUCUCUGCAAAGAAUGCUCACAGAUUUGUGGAUGUGAGGGAGGGACCAAGGGAGAGUGUGCAGGGGCUCUGACUGCAAGGGGGGAGCAUUUAGAAAUUUCCAUAGCUCAACUUUGAAUCUGACCUGCAAGUCCAAUGCAGAGCCCUGAUGGUGAGCAGAGCAGCUGCAGGAGCAGCUCUUUGUUGAGCUUCCUAGUACUGAGUCUUUGGAGUGUGCACAUGGAUUUGUGAAGAUGGGACUGGAAGUGAGUGUGAUCAGACUGACUGGCAUGGGACACCUGUGGCCACAGCCUGACCUGCAGCACACAGCACUUACCUUACGCUGAAGGUUAAAGGUCUGAUGUGGUUUUCUCCUUUAUAUGGUUCUUUCUUAGGUUGAUGUGAGCAGCAAAGUUCAUCUCUGCCUCUGAACUCCCCCAAGCUAUAUGGAUUUCGUUUGGUAUGCUCUUCUUCACCCUUCCUUACUUUGCCAGCUAAAUUCAGACAAGGUAUGAGCUGUCAAAAGAAUAACUUACAAGUACAGGAGCUAGAAAAGUCUUGAAGUGUAAAGCUGGCAGGCCCCAAAGACCUGCAGGGACUAUCCAAUCCAUCUGGUGCUCCAGGGUGCAGAGCAAACAGGCUUUUGACUAGUUCAUAACCGCAGCAUAUGCAAAAGGCUCAAUUAUUGCUUCUUAAAAAGCCCAAAUUAUCUCCUGGAGUUGGAGACUGACAGCCACACAGUCUCCACAGCGUUAUGCACGACUGAAUUUUUGCUGGCUUAUUCUCUGCUGUUCUGUACUGCCUGUAAUUGCAUUGCAUUUUAACUGUUUAGCAUCGUCAGAACUUCAGCCCCAGGGGCAGCGGAGGUGGUGAGAGCUCAAUACAUCAAAUUACUACCCAAAGAGCAAGCAGACAAAAAGCAGAGCAGGGAGGGAGGGAAACAGACAAAUGAGCCACAUUCAUUAGAAAAACAGCAGCCCUGACCAGGGAAGCGUCCUACUGAUGUAAUGAGAAAGGUGAAAGUUGUUAAUAAUAAUAAAGAACACAGUAACACAGUGGCUUUUCUAUCAGAAAGCACCAAAUCUGGAGAAAAUAAAUGCUCUGU